AACGUAGGACGCGAGCGUUAUCCGGAUUUACUGGGCGUAAAGCGCGGGCAGGCGGUCUGACAAGUCUGAUGUGAAAUCUCCGGGCUUAACCGGGAGAGGCCAUUGGAAACUGACAGGCUGGAGGGCAGUAGAGGUAGGCGGAAUUCCGGGUGGAGUGGUGAAAUGCGUAGAGAUCCGGAGGAACACCAGAGGCGAAGGCGGCCUACUGGGCUGCACCUGACGCUGAGACGCGAAAGCCAGGGGAGCGAACGGG
rnacentral:rRNA from 1 species